rnacentral:misc_RNA from 1 species
AAAAUGCGAUACGCAAUGCGAAUUGCAGAAUUCCGCGAAUCAUCAGAUCCUUGAACGCAACUGGCGCUGGAGGGACAUCCUUCCAGCAUGCCUGUUUCAGUGUCUGAAAACAUCCAUAACGAUGAUAAUGUGUUUGACAAGUAUUCUUGUUGGUUUUAAUCGAUCACAAUAAUAUAAGUCUUACAUUAAAGAUGUAUGCGUGGGUCUUCGGGUCCCAUCGAAUUGGUCACUGACAACUUCAGUGAUUUCGAUUGUGGAUAUUUCAAACUGAAGAUAUUUCCCAUAUACGCAUAGAACCUAAAUAUAACAACUUCAACAUCUGCAUCUGAAAUCAGGCAAGAACACCCGCUGAACUUAA